UAGGGAAUCUUCCACAAUGGACGAAAGUCUGAUGGAGCAACGCGCGUGAGUGAAGAAGGUUUCGGCUCGUAAAACUCUGUUGUUAAAGAAGAACAUAUCUGAGAGUAACUGUUCAGGUAUUGACGGUAUUUAACCAGAAAGCCACGGCUAACUACGUGCCA
rnacentral:rRNA from 1 species